ACGCUCGACACCUACGUGAGGCAGCAGUGAGGAAUAUUGGUCAAUGGACGCAAGUCUGAACCAGCCAUGCCGCGUGCAGGAUGACGGCUCUAUGAGUUGUAAACUGCUUUUGUACGAGGGUAAACGCAGAUACGUGUAUCUGUCUGAAAGUAUCGUACGAAUAAGGAUCGGCUAACUCCGUGCCGGCAGCCGCGGUAAUCUGAGCGGGCUGGCAAGGC
rnacentral:rRNA from 1 species